rnacentral:rRNA from 1 species
GACAGAGGGUGCAAACGUUGUUCGGAAUCACUGGGCGUAAAGCGUGUGUAGGCGGCCAUAUAAGUCGGAUGUGAAAGCCCUGGGCUCAACCCAGGAAGUGCACCCGAAACUGUGUGGCUUGAGUACUGGAGAGGUUGGUGGAAUUCUCGGUGUAGAGGUGAAAUUCGUAGAUAUCGAGAGGAACACCGGUGGCGAAGGCGGCCAACUGGACAGAUACUGACACUGAGGAGCGAAAGCCAGGGGAGCAAACGGG